rnacentral:rRNA from 1 species
GACGUAGGAUCCGAGCGUUGUCCGGAGUUACUAGGCGUAAAGCGCGCGCAGGCGGAUACACGCAUCGGCGGUGAAAGCCCCCCGCCCAACGGGGGGGGGGCCGUCGAGAUGGUGUAUCUGGAGGCAGGGAGAGGCCAGUGGAAUUCCGGGUGUAGUGGUGAAAUGCGUAGAGAUCCGGAGGAACACCAGUGGCGAAGGCGGCUGGCUGGACCUGACCUGACGCUGAGGCGCGAAGGCGUGGGGAGCGAACGGG